CACAAGCAGAUUUUUAUUUAUAGAAAAUUACAAUGAUAGACUCCUUCAAAGAUAGGAGGUCAAAGUAAACAAGAUAACUCUACAUAAUUAAGCAAGUUGUCGAGCAUUUGAAUCUAUUAUAUCAUGAUUUGUACAAGGAUAAGCUGUUGAGUGAACUUUAUCAUCAUCUUCUUGAACAGCAAUUUGGAACUAAAAAAAAAAAACCUGUCAGCCGUGCGUCCCUUGGUGAAGAUAUCAGCAACCUGUUCUAUACUAGAAACAUGACUAAUAAAUAUAUCGUCAUUUAGCACCUUUUCAUGAACAAAAUGGUAGUCCACUUUAAUAUGUUUAGUUCUAGCAUGAAAAAUAGAAUUCUUAACUAGUGCAAGAGCAUUUUCAUUAUCACACUAGACAAAUGGAAGAAGAGGAAAAUGUAACAUCCAAAUCACGAAGAACCUCACGUAACCAAUAAAGUUUAGCAGUAACAACAGCAAGAGACAUGUAUUUAGCUUCAGCAUUAGAUUUGGAAACCACGAGCUAUUUCUUGGCAGACCAAGAAAUAAGAUUAGAACCAAGAAACACUCCAAAAUCACUAUUAGAUUGGCGAUAAUUAAGGUCAAAGCUCCAAUCUGAGUUACGAUACGCUAAUAAGUUAUUAUGCCCAAGACGAUAAAUAAGACCAUGAGAUAUUGUUAUUUAGAUAACGUAGAGCACACUUAACUGCAGUCCAAUGAGAUGAAGUUUGUGCAUGCAUAUAUUGACACAAUUGGUUAACAAAGUAGGCAAUCUUAGGACGAGUCAAAAUGACAUAUUGAAGUGCACCCACCAUUUGGCGAUUUUCAGUUUGAUUAAGUAACAAAUCAUCAUCAUGUUUUGAGAUUUUAAAACUUGAGGUACAAGAAGCAUUAUGUGGCUUCAUAUUAGCCAUAUUAGUGAUGAAGGCCAUCAGUGUUCCAAGUUGCUUCAUGCUAAGAAAAUAAGAAAAGACACCAAGAUCCUUCAUAUCAAAAUCAAUCUUCAACAUACCAAUGAUCUUAAGAUGAUGGUAGAAUUGUUACCGAUAAUAAUAAUGUAGUCAAAAUAGAUCAGCACAAAAAUCUGAGUAUCACAAGAGUGGAACACAAAUAAAGAUGGAUUCGAGUCAGAACAAUGAAAUCCAAUAUCAAUCAAAGCACUAGAAAGACAGUGAAACCAAGCUCGAGGGUCUUGUUUCAACCCAUAGAUUAACUUGUGAAAACGGUACACCCAAUUAGGAUGACAAAAUCUUCAAAUCCUUUAGGCUACUCCAUAUAAACAUCUUCAGUCAAAAACCAUGUACAAAUGCAUUUGACACAUCAAGUUGCCUGACAUGCCAAUAAAAAGAAACUGCCAAUGCAAACACCAAGAACACAUAGAAGAUUUCACAACAGGACUAGAUGUUUCAUGAUAGUCGAUACCAUUAUUUUGAUUAGAACCUUUAGCAACAAGUCUUGCCUUAAAGCUUUCAAUAGAAUCAUCUAGCUUUUGCUUAAUCUUAAAUACCCACUCAUUGUAUACAAAAUCGAGAUUGUCAAGCCAAGGGCAGAGAGUCCGUGUUUUAUUCUCAACCAAGAUAGGGAAUUUCCAUAGCAUGAACCAAUUCAAGCUUAGAUGCCUCUUGGUGGAAAUUAUGUUGUUCAAGUGGAAGAGAAGUAGCAUGAUGGGAGAAGAGGGGUUAGCAAGUGGAAUAAUAAGUGUGGCAGUUACCAAAUCUUUUUGGUUUGAGAUUAUUAGUCAUGGACCUUGUGAUGAUAGUACGUGCAAGGGGAAUAGAAGGUGAGGGUUGAGGUGCAGAAGUCAUAGGAUAAGAAGAUAGAUCCAAAGGAAGAGAGAUGGGGAUGUGAAGGGUGUUGGUGUGAGCUGUUAUAAAUUAAAAUAGCAAAUACAAUCAAUGUAAAUUCCCCUUAUCAAGGGGUCAACCACAAUCCUUGGCACCAAUUUUAUAUAGUCUAAAUAAGUAUGCAUAUUCCUCCUAUUUAUAUGUAUUUUAUUCAAUGUAAUAAAAUAUGGUGGAAUAUAGAAAACUGAUUACCAUUGAAACAUUGUAUCAAAGCCAGGUUGAAAACUAUGCCAUGGAAUCCCUUUUUCAAAAAUCCACAACCUUCUUCUUAUAAAACUAUCCUCAAACACAUGGCCGACAAAGAAGCUAUCACCAACAUGGGUGAUCCUUCGUGCAAUCCCAAAGCCUUAUUCCAAGAAUUCCCACAAAAAAAUGGCAGAAGCUUUAUACAAAACUAAAAAUCCAAUCCCAAACACUGAAAACUUAAUCCCAAUUAGGAUCAAGCUUGAUUGUUCGGCCUAUACCUUGUUGUCCCAAGUUAUGGAGAUAUACAUCUCCGAAAAAGAUAAACUGGGCUAUCUAAAUGGCGACUCUCCACCGCCUUCACAAACUGAUCCCACCUUUUGAAAAUGACGAAUCGAAAAUGCCAUUGUUAAAGGUUGAUCAAUUAACUCUAUGAACCCAGCCCUUAUUGGAAAUUUCAUUCGAUUCUCCACUACAAAAGUAGUUUGGGAUGCUAUUGCCACGACCUUCUUCAAUAGAAGUGAUGCUUCUAAAGUUUAUGAACUUUGACAAUGAGUUAAUCAGCUGAGUCAAUCAGGUAGCUCGUUGGAGAAAUAUUGCACGAAUUUGCAAGGGCUGUGGCACGAGAUUGACUUCCGCUGCCCCAAUCCAAUGGAAUGUGCCACUGAUAUUCAAUGCUACAAUAAGAUGCUCCUAAAAGAUCGAGUUUGUACCUUCUUGCAUAGACUCGAUGACCACCUGGAUGAGACAUUUCCAUCGAACAAGCCUACGUCCAUGUAGGGCAGCGAGGCACUUAGGCAAGCAAUCAUG
rnacentral:lncRNA from 1 species